GACAACGUGGCCGAGUGGUUAAGGCGAUGCCCUGCUAAGGCAUUGUAUUCGUACGCGUAGGUUCGAAUCCUGCCGUUGUCG
rnacentral:tRNA from 4 species